rnacentral:rRNA from 1 species
CGAAGUAAGACUAAUACCCAAUGACGUCUCUAGAAGACAUCUGAAAGAGAUUAAAGAUUUUAUCGGUGAUGGAUGGGGAUGCGUCUGAUUAGCUUGUUGGCGGGGUAACGGCCCACCAAGGCGACGAUCAGUAGGGGUUCUGAGAGGAAGGUCCCCCACAUUGGAACUGAGACACGGUCCAAACUCCUACGGGAGGCAGCAGUGAGGAAUAUUGGUCAAUGGGCGAGAGCCUGAACCAGCCAAGUAGCGUGAAGGAUGAAGGUCCUACGGAUUGUAAACUUCUUUUAUACGGGAAUAAAGUUUCCUACGUGUAGGAUUUUGUAUGUACCGUAUGAAUAAGCAUCGGCUAACUCCGUG